UAACUACACAUCUGCAAGUCAAGUGGAUGGCCUCCUCCACACAUCAUGAGAAUCACCCUCACCAGUGAGGAGACUGAUUCAACCCAGACCAACAAGCUGGAUCUCAACCCAUGAAGCCCAUGAUCCCUGAAGAGCUCUUAUCACAACCUCCACUAGCUGGGACAUCCAUGUGAUACACGGGCAAUCCUCACCUACCAGUCAUGCUUGCUGCAGGAAGCUACUGACCAUCUCCUUUGCCAAAGUGCAUCCAAUCAAAUGCCAAACAAGAAUCAACUAAAGGAAGCAAGAGUUUAUUCUGACUUAAAGUAUGCUGUGGUGAAGAAGAAAUGGUGGCCGAUGCAUAAGGCAGCUGGUCACAUUGCAUACACACUCAUGAAGCAGAGGACAGGAAAUGGGGCCAGUCCACAGUCCCUAAAGCUCCAGUUCCCACCCUGCAGUGACCCACUUCCUCCAGUGAGGCUCUGCCUUCUAAAGCUACAACCUUCCCAAACAGUGCCACCAUCUGCGAACCAGCUCUUCAAAUACGGAAGCCUGUGGAGGGCACUUCACAUUCAAAAACACAACAUCGACAUGGUCCAAGUACCUAAGGCAGAUUCUCUCUCUGCACCCGUGUCUGCAGCAGGGGCUGGGUUCCUGCUGUCUGGAACGUGGGCCCCUUCCUCCCACCUACUGCCUCCCUGUCUGAUGCCUGGAGAUGUUCUCUCAUCUCAUUAUGCAGAAAAUAGAGAAAUGGCUGCAUCUCCUUGAAUUUCCCAUGAGCACAUUGUAAGACUGAGGCAGGAAGUCGAUGAAGAAUCAGUCAGUGCAGAGCACCUAGGACCCUGACUGCUUCUCGGAUCCCACACUAAACCUGGAGAUGACCAUCCCAUCUACACCAGCUGGCCAGUGAGCCCCAGGGGUCCACUGUUCUAACUCCUGGAUCUGAAAUUAGAAGUGUGAUCCACUACACCCAGCCUUUUCAUGUGGGUGCAGGGAUCCCACUAGGGUCCUCAUGCUUUCUGGCAUGCACUUCGCUAAGCUGUCUCCCUAGCUCUGAAGAUACGUUUUAAGAAAUAUUUCCCUGGCUCUCUAGAUCUGGAUACAGCACCUUUUGAUUUACUUUCAUGACACAGGAAACCUACUGUCCCCGUGAGUUCCCUCCGUUUUUUGUUGUCUUGUCUAUUCAAUGUCUUAGACUUUACUCUUGUAAGAAUUUUCCGGGAUUCAUGGCAGCCCCAGUUAAAA